UUUUCCAUCGAUUCUCCACUCCACCCCUACUGACUCGACUCGACUCGACUCCUUGAGACUCAUAGUGAGUCAGUGACUGUCGACCUCGACUGUGUCUGUCGACAUUACAUCAAUCCUCCCCAAUCGCGAGUUCCGACCACCACCACACGGUCGACACCAACCUCGCCGUCGAGAACACUACCAUCAUCCUGCAAAUUCCUAGAUUCCGGAGCCACUUAUUACUGAGAAAGUUUGGAAAUUGGAAGAUUUUGAAUCAUAUCCUGCUUGCUUACUGAUUCAAUGAAGAUUGUUGUUGGAACUUGGAUUUUCGAAUAUUUUGUAUGUUGAUUUGAUUUUUAGAUGUUGGAAGAUGUAAUAUUAUUAUUUUGAAUGUAUUGUUAAUCUAUGAACUUGGAUGUUGGACUUUGUAUUUAGAUUGGAUGUGAAUAAUGGUGAAUUUGUGCAAAA